CCUACGGGUGGCAGCAGUGGGGAAUAUUGCACAAUGGGGGAAACCCUGAUGCAGCGACGCCGCGUGAGUGAAGAAGUAUUUCGGUAUGUAAAGCUCUAUCAGCAGGGAAGAACAUGACGGUACCUGAUUAAGAAGCCCCGGCUAACUACGUGCCAGCAGCCGCGGUAAUACGUAGGGGGCAAGCGUUAUCCGGAUUUACUGGGUGAAAAGGGAGCGUAGACGGCAACACAAGUCUGGAGUGAAAUGCCGGGGCUUAACCCCGGAACGGUUUUGGAACUGGGGCAGCUAAGUGCAAGAGGGGGAAGUGGAAUUCCUGGUGUAGGGGUGAAAUGCGUAGAUAUUAGGAGGAACACCAGUGGCGAAGGCGGCUUACUGGACUGUAACUGACGUUGAGGCUCGAAAGCGUGGGGAGCAAACAGGAUUAGAUACCCCUGUAGUC
rnacentral:rRNA from 1 species